UACGUAGGGUGCAAGCGUUGUCCGGAAUUAUUGGGCGUAAAGAGCUCGUAGGCGGUUUGUCGCGUCUGCUGUGAAAACUCAGGGCUUAACUCUGAGCUUGCAGUGGGUACGGGCAGACUAGAGUGCGGUAGGGGAGACUGGAAUUCAUGGUGUAGCAGUGAAAUGCGUAGAGAUCAUGAGGAAGACCAGUGGCGAAGGCGGGUCUCUGGACAGUUCCUGACACUGAGGCACGAAGGCCAGGGGAGCAAACGGG
rnacentral:rRNA from 1 species